CUUUCAUUUCCUUUCAGGUUUGUAGAGUCCUUAAUUUCACGACACUGUUUCAAAACAGUAAGCAAACCUUAAUCUGAGGGGGAGAAGAUAGAGGGUUUGAAGAGAGAAUGGGGUUGAAGGGGAAGGGUUUCAAUCGGUGGCGAGACUGGUUCUGCAGCGGCGAGACUAGUUCGGCGGCGAGACGGUACGCUUCUUUUGACUCUUCUUUCGACUCUCUCAUUCCAGUUGGUUCCUCUAUCGACUGGAUUGAAAUGGUUCCUCUAUAUCUCUAUGUUGCCCCCACCGCCAUAGCCAUAGCAGCUUAUUAGUGGUGGUGGUUGUUUUCUGCGAGCAUCAGUAAUGUCGCAGAAGCGGCGGCAAGAGGACUCCAAGGGUCGUUCGGAGGGCAAUGGGUCGGGUGAAAAGCGUCGCAAACAUCCUUCUUUCAGAAGGUUCAAUGAAAAUAUUAUCACUGACCCAGGUUAUGUGGAUAUAUUUCCGGCAUCACGUAUCCCAAAACAGUUGCACCAUCUUGUUAAGCCAAUUUAUCGUUCCACACCCAGUGCAUCUAGGGAAUCAUUAAAUUCAAGAGGUGCUAACAUGAAGGAAAAAGGAUUCCGGAUACUAACGGAGCCAAGUAAUUUGUCCUCUGUUCUACAGUGGGCAUUAGAUUCUGAGCAAUUUUUCAUCAAAUGAAAGAAAUGGUGAAUGAUUGGAUAUGCUCUAACUUGCACCAAACAAUUGGUCCAACAUAGAUGAGUUUCAACGUAUGUUAAAGCUAAGUGAAUUUCAAUCAAUGGUUGCUAGUUGCUACACUUUUUGAUUCUUAGAUGCAUAGUAGAUCAAUCUUGCCAAUAGUUGAUGGCUUACAUUUGUGAUUUAGGAUUUUUUUUGUGAGGUUAAUCAAUCCAUAUUUAUUUAUUAUAAUUUCAGUUGGUGCAUAUGCAGGUGGGCUUUCACCUUCAUGCCUGCACGUUUGCAGCAGCAUGAAGUCAAGAGAGGGAGAUGUUAAUAAGAGAACUUGGUUAGUUAGCAAAUCUCCAUGCUUGAAUUGGGGUAUGUUUAGUGUGUUUAGAAGAUGAUGGGGAUGCCAUCACUAUUUUUGAUGUUUUACGAAGCAUUUUGGUUGUCAUACCAUCAAGUUGUGAUAGGGGAUGUUAAAGAGACUUUCAUCUUAUGGUAAAUUUAUAUGGUUGAAUUAGGAUCACUUUAACAAGGUAGAAGAGUCAUCCUUGCUUUUCGAAGUUCUUCUAACGGCAACUAGAAUCCUUUGUUUGAUUUUAAUUACUCAGCCAACACUCAUGGUUUAUGUUCCUAUAUUUAGGAUUCACUAUUUGCAAAAUAGUUGCUAUAUUUGUGUGAAUAAAUGAGUAUUUAUUUUUGAGUAGUUUGAGUAUGGGAGCCUAGUGGUGGGAUGCAACAAGUUAAACUUCCUACUUGCAUAGCACUUGAAAUCAAGGGAAUUUUUAUUUAUUUAUUUUCGGGGUAUGCUGGUGAAGAUCCUUAUCCUCUUCAAUGUUGAAAAUGUUACAUAGAAUUAUUUUAUUGCUUCAUCAUUUGACUAGCAAUCUGUUGCUUAGUUUCUUAAUGUACUCUAGUUUUGUUCUCAUUCUUCCUCUAAACCUAUGUGUUUAGCUUGCUUAAAAUCAUAAAUCAAAUGGCAUGUAAUGGCCUUGUUUGAUAACUUUUUUUAAUAGUCUUUUCCCCCCUGAAUGUUUCUUCUAGAGCACAUCAUGUAUCCCAAAGUUCACAUUGCACUAAGAAUGUCACGUCAUCUUCGACUGGGCGUUGUUCGGAUAUAUUCAAAGAAAGUCAACUAUCUGUACCAAGACUACAAUUUUUUUCUGAUAACCAUAAGAAAAGCAUUUGCUUCUGCAGAAGUUAAUCUGCCAGAUGCAACUCAUGCACCUUUUGACUCUGUCACUUUGCCAAAACGUUCAAACUUGAUGCCUUGAAUUUGGAUGAUGACUUCUCUUAUGACGGGGCUCAAGAUAAUCAUCUCUGGAGCGAGGUGGAGAUAACACUUACAUGUGGGAGCAAUAAUGGGACCGCUGAUAACUACUGUUGUCAUUGCUCUCAAGGAUUUGUAUGUUGAAUUUGUUUUGGAUGAACUGAAGGAGAGUGAGACGUAGAGCGCUGCUGGGCAUGCUUUUAGUGCUUGCUUCCUGAGAAAUGUUCAUCGCUUCCUCAAAAACGCGUGUACAUUAUUAGUUGAGCUAAUUAGAACCCAAAAAAGAAAUAUCAGAAUUGUUUGCUUUAGAGUGGAUGUGUUUUUACCAAUCUGUUGGCAGUGCAUUUAUCAAGUUUUGUUGGCUGCAUUUUCUCUUUAGGACAGUCUUUUUGUUUUUGUUUUUAUUUUUUUUCUUCUAUUUAUGGUGUGAGCAUGAUGUAAAAAGUAAUCGAUCAAUCAUGUACUCCCUACGCCUGUAUGUAUACCUGACUGCUGCCCAAACCCCCUACGCCUGUAUGUAUACCUGACUGCUGUUGUAACAAAUGCCAGCUUGUAGCCGUCGGCUAUGCUGUUCCCUAUGACAACAAUCCAUUUUGCUCUA